rnacentral:rRNA from 1 species
GACGAACGCUGGCGGCGUGCUUACCACAUGCAAGUCGAACGGAGUGGCGAACGGGUGAGUAACACGUGGGUGACCUGCCCUGCACUUCGGGAUAAGCCUGGGAAACUGGGUCUACUACCGGAUAGUGUGGGCUGGGCCCGCGGCCUAUCCGCUUGUUGUUGGGGUAAUGGCCUCCCAAGGCGGCGACGGGUAGCCGGCCUGAGCGGGUGGACGGCCACAUUGGGAUAGAGACACGGCCCAGACGCCGACGGGAGGCAGCAGUGAGGAAUAGUGCAACAGGGGCGGAAGCCUGAUGCAGCGACGCCGCGUGGGGGAUGACGGCCUGCGGGUUGGAAACUCCUUUCACCAUCGACGCGGUAGAUGGAGAAGAAGCACCGGCUAACUACGUGCCAGCCGCGGCGGUAAUUC